AACGAACGCUGGCGGCAGGCUUAACACAUGCAAGUCGAGCGCACUCUUCGGAGUGAGCGGCGGACGGGUUAGUAACGCGUGGGAACGUGCCCUUCUCUAAGGAAUAGCCUCUGGAAACGGAGAGUAAUACCUUAUACGCCCUUUGGGGGAAAGAUUUAUCGGAGAAGGAUCGGCCCGCGUAAGAUUAGAUAGUUGGUGGGGUAAUGGCCUACCAAGUCUACGAUCUUUAGCUGGUUUUAGAGGAUGAUCAGCAACACUGGGACUGAGACACGGCCCAG
rnacentral:rRNA from 1 species